UCUAGGUCUCUGUUGAUCGCUUUAACCAUGUCUUUCAGAAUCAGAGGGACAAAUGCAUCCUCUGGCAUGGGGGUUGCUGAUCAAAGCAAAGCUACUUAUAUGGAACUGCAAAGGAAGAAGGUGCAUCGAUAUGUGAUAUUUAUGAUUGAUGAGAAGAAAAAUGAGGUUGUGGUUGAGAAAACUGGAGGUCCAGCUGAGAGCUAUGAUGAUUUCACUGCAGCUCUUCCUGAGAAUGACUGCCGAUAUGCAGUAUACGAUUAUGACUUCGUGACAUCUGACAACUGCCAAAAGAGCAAAAUUUUCUUCUUUGCCUGGUCUCCAUCUGUUUCCCGAAUCCGAUCGAAGAUGCUGUAUGCGACAUCUAAGGACAGGUUCAGGAGGGAGCUGCAAGGCAUACACUAUGAGAUUCAAGCUACUGACCCUACUGAAGUAGAACUUGAAGUGCUCAAAGAACGCGCUUACUGAUUGAUCAAACAUCCUACUAUGAAACAACCAUUCAUAAUAUUUCUGUGUAAUCGCGUCUUACAAGACUCGAUCUACUUAACUAUGACAUAAAUAACUCGAUGCUUGGGUUGCUGAUUACCGGACGACUCAUGAUAGUUAGUAUAUCAUGUUUUCUGGUUAUGAGCUCGCUCAUUCUCAUGAUGCUUCCUAGUCGAGAAACGAGUAUGGUGUUCUGUAUGUGAAUGGUUAUCAACUUCUCUAUGUCUACGCAAUGAAUAUUAUGUGUUAUUAGUAUCUGACUGAUAAAUUUCUGUUGUUCUUUUCCUGUCUAUCUGUUUGGGAGAUGGUUAAAUAGAUCUUUAGUUGAACCUACAGCGCGUUUUUUGGUCGCUUAUACAAGCCAUGUACUGCGAAG
rnacentral:misc_RNA from 1 species